rnacentral:rRNA from 1 species
CGGAACGUGCCCAAUCGUGGGGGAUAGCUCGGCGAAAGCCGGAUUAAUACCGCAUACGAUCUACGGAUGAAAGCAGGGGACUCGCAAGGGCCUUGCGCGAAUGGAGCGGCCGAUGGCAGAUUAGGUAGUUGGUGGGGUAAAGGCUCACCAAGCCGACGAUCUGUAGCUGGUCUGAGAGGACGACCAGCCACACUGGGACUGAGACACGGCCCAGACUCCUACGGGAGGCAGCAGUGGGGAAUUUUGGACAAUGGGCGCAAGCCUGAUCCAGCAAUGCCGCGUGCAGGAUGAAGGCCUUCGGGUUGUAAACUGCUUUUGUACGGAACGAAAAAGCUCUGGUUAAUACCUGGGGCCCAUGACGGUACCGUAAGAAUAAGCACCGGCUAACUACGUGCCAGCAGCCGCGGUAAUACGUAGGGUGCGAGCGUUAAUCGGAAUUACUGGGCGUAAAGCGUGCGCAGGCGGUGAUGUAAGACAGUUGUGAAAUCCCGGGGCUCAACCUGGGAACUGCAUCUGUGACUGCAUCGCUGGAGUGCGGCAGAGGGGGAUGGAAUUCCGCGU